UUUUUGUGAAUUUUCUCUUCUCUGGUAUUUUUAAUUCAUUUUAAAUAGUUUUUGAUAUUCAAAAAAUACAAAAAUAUAUUCCUAACCUAUUUGAAUGAUGAUGGAUCUAUGAAAAAUAUUCUCAUCAAUUUUUAAUUGAUUUGAGAUUUAUUUGAGAUUUUAGUUCAAUUAAGUUAUUUUUAUUCAUUUUUAAUUGAUUAAAAAUAGUUUCUGACUUUUAAAAAUGCUGAAAUU
rnacentral:lncRNA from 1 species